UGUCAAGGGAUGGGAAUCGAACCCACCAUCUUCCGCUUACCGCGCAGAUGCCAUGACCACUAGGCUACCCUGGAC
rnacentral:tRNA from 1 species